rnacentral:rRNA from 1 species
GUCGCAAGACAAAGUGGGGGACCUUCGGGCCUCAUGCCAUCAGAUGUGCCCAGAUGGGAUUAGCUAGUAGUGGGGUAAUGGCUCACCUAGGCGACGAUCCCUAGCUGGUCUGAGAGGAUGACCAGCCACACUGGAACUGAGACACGGUCCAGACUCCUACGGGAGGCAGCAGUGGGGAAUAUUGCACAAUGGGCGCAAGCCUGAUGCAGCCAUGCCGCGUGUAUGAAGAAGGCCUUCGGGUUGUAAAGUACUUUCAGCGAGGAGGAAGGCAUUAAGGUUAAUAACCUUAGUGAUUGACGUUACUCGCAGAAGAAGCACCGGCUAACUCCGUGCCAGCAGCCUCCGGUAAUACGGAGGGUGCAAGCGUUAAUCGGAAUUACUGGGCGUAAAGCGCACGCAGGCGGUCUGUUAAGUCAGAUGUGAAAUCCCCGGGUCAACCUGGGAAACUGGAUUUUGGAAAACUUGGGCAGGGCUUGGAGUUCCUUGUAACAAGGGGGGGGUAGAAAUUCCCAGGGGUUGGUUAACCGGGGUUGAAAUUGGCGUUAGAAGAUNCUGGAGGGAAUUACCGGUUGGGAAAGGGCGGGGCCCCCUUUGGGGAAC